rnacentral:rRNA from 1 species
GGAUGAACGCUGGCGGCGUGCCUAAUACAUGCAAGUCGAGCGAACAGACGAGGAGCUUGCUCCUCUGACGUUAGCGGCGGACGGGUGAGUAACACGUGGAUAACCUACCUAUAAGACUGGGAUAACUUCGGGAAACCGGAGCUAAUACCGGAUAAUAUAUUGAACCGCAUGGUUCAAUAGUGAAAGACGGUUUUGCUGUCACUUAUAGAUGGAUCCGCGCCGCAUUAGCUAGUUGGUAAGGUAACGGCUUACCAAGGCAACGAUGCGUAGCCGACCUGAGAGGGUGAUCGGCCACACUGGAACUGAGACACGGUCCAGACUCCUACGGGAGGCAGCAGUAGGGAAUCUUCCGCAAUGGGCGAAAGCCUGACGGAGCAACGCUGCGUGAGUGAUGAAGGUCUUCGGAUCGUAAAACUCUGUUAUUAGGGAAGAACAAAUGUGUAAGUAACUAUGCACGUCUUGACGGUACCUAAUCAGAAAGCCACGGCUAACUACGUG